AAUGUGAAUUGCAGAAUUCAGUGAAUCAUCUAAUCUUUGAACGCACAUUGCGCCCCCUGGUAUUCCGGGGGGCAUGCCUGUUCGAGCGUCAUUUCACCACUCAAGCCUCGCUUGGUAUUGGGCAACGCGGUCCGCCGCGUGCCUCAAAUCGACCGGCUGGGUCUUCUGUCCCCUAAGCAUUGUGGAGACUAUUCGCUAAAGGGUGCUCGGGAGGCUACGCCGUAAAACAAACCCAUUUCUAAGGUUGACCUCGGAUCAGGUAGGACUACCCGCUGAACUUAAGCAUAUCAAUAAGCGGAGGAAA
rnacentral:rRNA from 1 species